rnacentral:rRNA from 1 species
AUUGAACGCUGGCGGCAGGCCUAACACAUGCAAGUCGAGCGAGCGGCGGACGGGUGAGUAAUGUCUGGGAAACUGCCUGAUGGCGGGGGAUAACUACUGGAAACGGUAGCUAAUACCGCAUACCACCUGAUGUGCCCAGAUGGGAUUAGCGAGUAGGUGGGGUAACGGCUCACCUAGGCGACGAUCCCUAGCUGGUCUGAGAGGAGGACCAGCCACCCGGGAACUGAGAGACGGUCCAGGCUCCUACGGGAGGCAGCAGUGGGGAAUAUUGGACAAUGGGCGCAGGCCUGAUCGAGCCAUGCCGCGUGGGUGAAGAAGGCCUUCGGGUUGUAAAGCACUUUCAGCGGGGAGACGUUACCCGCAGAAGAAGCACCGGCUAACUCCGUGCCAGCCGCCGCGGUAAUUC